AAUAAGUAUCUAGUUACUAUGACAAUGAGUAGGAUACAAAUAUGGAAAUUAAUAAAAAUAUGCAGUGGUAUACAAAUAUAUGUAUGCAUAUUUUGUUUAAGUAAAUUUAUGGUAUUAUUACUGUGCGAAGUUGGUUAAUUUAUUCAUUAAUUUAAAUAUUUUAAUUAGUUUCGAAUGAAUAAUUUUAUAAACUAUAUCUUAAACUACAAAAAAAGAAAAAGCAAUGGCCAGUGUUAAUACUAGUAUUGAACAAGAAAGAAAAAAGCAUAGUCAUAGAAGAGCAACAAGUGUUAAAAGCAAUCAAGAUACAACUUUUGUACCAGUAUAUUGUCGUAGACAUAUUUCAAAGACAAAACAUACACUUAAAGCGCAUAAGAAUUUAUCAGAUUGCAUAACUGAUAAUGAUAAUGAUAUGAAAAAUCAUGAGGAUGAAGUACUUUCGAAAAGAAAAAGUAAAAUAUAUGAACAUGAAAGAAGUAAAAAAUUAACUGAAGAGAAUAAUUCUCAGAAAACAUCGUUUGACAAGGAUGAUGCAGAUUCGGGUAUUAAUUUAUCAAGAUUAAAAGAUAAGUAUGUUUCAAAGGAAACAUUGAAAAUAGUUAAUGAAUACCAUAAAUUGGAAAAAUGUUACAAAAAUAUUCAAGAAGAAUGUCAAAAAUUAAAUAAUAUUUUGGAGCAAAGGGAAUUGGAAUAUAAGAAAUUAUGUUUACAUUAUGAGGCAUUGAUACAGAUGGUUCAAGAAUUAGAAGAAGCAAAAAUUAAUUUACUUAAACAAAAUAAACAACUUGAAACAGAAAAGAUUCAAUCGAAUGAGGAUAUUACGCUUUUAAAAACUAUUGUAUAUCAAUUAAAUGCUGAAUUAGAAAGAUACCAAGACAAAUUAGGAGACCGAAAACAUGAAAAUGUUUCUGCAUCCAAUAACGGUAACAAUGAAAAGAAAUAUGAUUCAAGAAUUUGGGGAAAUAUCAAUUUUCAUGCAUUAGGUCCACUUUUAAAUGCUUAUCAAGAAAAUUUAUUAGAAAAACAAGAACUUAUAUAUAUGUAUGAACAGGAAAUGGCUGAUUUUAGUAGUAGAUGUAAACAAAUUCUUACAGAAAAUGAAAUUAUGCAUAAAGAAGUAGAAGAAUUGAAAUCAGAGUGUGACAGGUAUACAAAGGAAAUACAAAAAAUGGUUGAAAAUACCGCGUUGCUAAAGAAACAGAAUGAUAUUUUAAAAAAGGAAACUUUAAAUAUAAAAAGAGAAACUAAUGAUAUUCGUUCGUCAUAUGAAUCAAAAAUAGAAGUGAUUUUAAAAUGCAAUGAAGCUCUAAAAAAAGAGCAUUCAAUAACAAUAUCAGAAUUGAGCAAUUUACGAGGGAAAUAUGAAAUUUUAAGUAAAGAAUUUGAAGAAAUGAGGAAUAAAGAACAACAAACAGUGCCUACUACUGUUCAUGUUACUGCUAUUGAAGAAUGUAAAAUAUUAUUGGAUGAAUUAAAAUAUCAAUAUGAAAAUGAAAAACGUGAUCUUUGUAAUCAUAUAAAACAUAUAGAGGAAAUUCAACCUGAAAAUGAAAAAAAACUUAUAAUGGUUAUAGCCGAAAGAAAUCAUUUGAAAGGACUUGUUAACAAUCUUGAAACAACUUUAAAACGAACUCAACGUAAAAGUGAACAAAUGCAAACUCUUGUUUAUUCGACUCGUGUUUCACGUAAUUCUUUGAAAGAGAAAUUAAGUAAAGUAACUGCUUAUUGUGAAGAAUUAUUUUCGGAAUAUGAAAGAAUUGUUUCAGAAAGAGAAAAAUUACUAUCUUUUUUACGUGAAACGGAAAAAGAAAAUGCAAAUAUGGAUCGUCUUGGUAAAAGUAUUACUAGUCGAGUGGAAGGCUUAAAAAAUCAAUUAGAAAUUGUUCGAAAAGGUACGAAACAACAGGUAGAUUCUGUAGAAAAACGUAUAAAAUUACAAGAACUUCAUGUACGUCGAAUGAAACACGAUUAUCAACGUAAAAUACAAUAUUUAAACGAUGUAAUUAAACAACAGGAAGAUAUUAUUGGCAAAUUACAAAAAGAAAAACAUUCUAGUCAAGAUACGUUAACAAGACGAGUACUUCAGGCAACAAAUGAGCCAAACAAUUAUAGUACUGGACCAAAAAAUUCGUGAAUUAAGUUCGUAAAAUAUUUCCAUAUUAUUAAACUCAUAUUAAGAUCAUCCAUAAUAGAUUGGACUUUGAAAUUGAUUUUUAACCAAUCUCGUAAUAAGCAUCUAAUUAUGGAAUAGGUGCUACUCGAAACACCGUCCUCGUAUUUACCGACCGUGUCAGUCGCUUUAUUUAGCGGUGACAUCAAAUGAAGCAAAUGGCUACGAAGGCUACCGUGUGGACGCCACUGUAUGAACGACUGAUGGCAGUGGAGACUAAUAAUCAUAUAGUGAAAAGUUGAUGUCAUCCGUUAUAGAAUGUUGCAAAUGGAAGAUAGUAUCGAGGAUAAUGAGGGUGGAAUUAAACUUAAGAAAUUUUGACAAAUAAAAUACUGAAAAAUCUUCGAUUCAUGGCACAAAAUAUACAAACAACAACGGGAAUUGAAGACUGCAAUUGAAAGAGGUCGAAUCUGAUUUGUCCAUUUUCAACCAAAUCUAACUUGACCUAAGCGCCGCUGACGACAAAGAUACGAAGUAUUGCUGAUUAUCGGCGUGCUGGAAGCACGUUACGUUGCUGGCUAAGCAACUAUUGUACGUAUUGGCGUGUAUCGUCAAAAGGACGCCAGACAUCGCGUACGCUUUCCCUGUUCGUCGUCUCCUUGCCACCUCUCUUCCUUCCGUUACGCCGGUGCAGUUCGUGCACUUCUACGCCGUGGUACGUUACUCUACCCUACAGCAGAGUCGUGUACAAUAAAUAAACGCGCGGCAUGUAUACGGGUUCCACGUGCUUUUCGUUCGGCUAAAACUAUUUUCGACUAUAAAACUAUUGAUUUCGAAGUAGAAAAAAGAAGAGAAAAAAAAUAUCAUUAGUGAAAUCUAAAUCAGGGAAGAAGAAACCGGUAACGAGGAUGUCGUGUCUAAUAUUGUGUGCAAAGUUGCCAAAUGCCUGCUGUCGAUAACACGGCGACUUAGUUCGGUGCACUAUUCGCCACUGCCUUGCGAACUCUAUUGAACGAAAACGACGUAAUACUUAGAAGCUCUUUGUGUGUCGCGGUUGUGAAAUUGCCAAGUGGUUGUGAAACAGUGCCGAGCAAAAGAGGAGUUGCACGAAUAUGGUGUAAAAAAAAAAAAAGAAGUUUCAA